rnacentral:rRNA from 1 species
GACGAACGCUGGCGGCGUGCUUAACACAUGCAAGUCGAACGGAAAGGCCCUGCUUUUGUGGGGUGCUCGAGUGGCGAACGGGUGAGUAACACGUGAGUAACCUGCCCUUGACUUUGGGAUAACUUCAGGAAACUGGGGCUAAUACCGGAUAGGAGCUCCUGCUGCAUGGUGGGGGUUGGAAUGUUUCGGCGGUUGGGGAUGGACUCGCGGCUUAUCAGCUUGUUGGUGGGGUAGUGGCUUACCAAGGCUUUGACGGGUAGCCGGCCUGAGAGGGUGACCGGCCACAUUGGGACUGAGAUACGGCCCAGACUCCUACGGGAGGCAGCAGUGGGGAAUAUUGCACAAUGGGCGGAAGCCUGAUGCAGCAACGCCGCGUGCGGGAUGACGGCCUUCGGGUUGUAAACCGCUUUCGCCUGUGACGAAGCGUGAGUGACGGUAAUGGGUAAAGAAGCACCGGCUAACUACGUGCCAGCAGCCGCGGUGAUACGUAGGGUGCGAGCGUUGUCCGGAUUUAUUGGGCGUAAAGGGCUCGUAGGUGGUUGAUCGCGUCGGAAGUGUAAUCUUGGGGCUUAACCCUGAGCGUGCUUUCGAUACGGGUUGACUUGAGGAAGGUAGGGGAGAAUGGAAUUCCUGGUGGAGCGGUGGAAUGCGCAGAUAUCAGGAGGAACACCAGUGGCGAAGGCGGUUCUCUGGGCCUUUCCUGACGCUGAGGAGCGAAAGCGUGGGGAGCGAACAGGCUUAGAUACCCUGGUAGUCCACGCUGUAAACGGUGGGUACUAGGUGUGGGGUCCAUUCCACGGGUUCCGUGCCGUAGCUAACGCUUUAAGUACCCCGCCUGGGGAGUACGGCCGCAAGGCUAAAACUCAAAGGAAUUGACGGGGCCCCGCACAAGCGGCGGAGCAUGCGGAUUAAUUCGAUGCAACGCGUAGAACCUUACCUGGGUUUGACAUGGAUCGGGAGUGCUCAGAGAUGGGUGUGCCUCUUUUGGGGUCGGUUCACAGGUGGUGCAUGGCUGUCGUCAGCCCGUGUCGUGAGAUGUUGGGUUAAGUCCCGCAACGAGCGCAACCCUUGUUCACUGUUGCCAGCACGUUAUGGUGGGGACUCAGUGGAGACCGCCGGGGUCAACUCGGAGGAAGGUGGGGAUGACGUCAAGUCAUCAUGCCCCUUAUGUCCAGGGCUUCACGCAUGCUACAAUGGCUGGUACAGAGAGUGGCGAGCCUGUGAGGGUGAGCGAAUCUCGGAAAGCCGGUCUCAGUUCGGAUUGGGGUCUGCAACUCGACCUCAUGAAGUCGGAGUCGCUAGUAAUCGCAGAUCAGCAACGCUGCGGUGAAUACGUUCCCGGGGCU